UAAAAGAAAUUGAAGAAAAUGAUUUGACCCGAAAUCCCAAUCACACACAGCACACAAUUCUGCACACAGACCAAAAGGAACAAUAUAAAUGGAAAACAAAAAUCUAUGACAGAAGUGGAAUUUGUCUUAUCUUCAAUUCAUACACAUGACCCCAAACAGUUUUGUUCAUAAAGGCAAACAAAAACGUCAAUCAAACGCAUUCAUUAAAAAACAUAAAAUCACAAAAAUAAAAUCCAUCAAGCAAUUAGAAUAAGUAAAACAAAAUAUAUACAAAAAAUGUACACGUGCCCCUCGGAUUGACAAGGGAGCAGACGCCCAACUAAGCGGUGAUUUCUGCAGCUCGCCGCAAACCUGAACAGGAAAAGCGGUGGAGAAAGUACAAGGAAAGAUGGAUGCGAAACAAAAGUGCUCUCUAAUAUUCCAUUCGCACACACACACUUCUGCUCAAUCCGACUCAUAUGAAAAUAUCCGAAUUCAGGCAGACAAUAUUCUUGCUAUUGUACAUUACGGCCCUAUUGAGACGGCGACACAUUUCAAAAUUCAAAAAUAUUGUGAUCUUAAAGGUGCCUGUAAAUUGGCACAAUUUAAAAAAAGACAUUUGUACUGGAAAAAUGUCUAUAAAGCUGCUGCUAUUGUUGUCCGCGUCUCCCCUCUCCCCAAUAUUAUUAUUAAAAGCCAGGCGAUGACCUCAUUCAUGACCACAGGCUGUGACACUUGAACUCUGGGUGCGUGUGCGCGUGUGAUUGUCUGCUCCACGCAUUGUGGUCCCAGCACGGUGUAUGGCUGCCUCCUAGCGUCUGAAAGUAGACUGCAUGCAUGCACGCCCGCCCCGCGUUCAUUCUUUGCCUUCACGAUCGCCGCGAGCGCGCUUGGGAGUGUUGACGCUCCACAAGCUGCUCGCCUGCGUUCAGUCGACGGCUCGGCGCAGCCUCGGACCAACUCAACCCGGGGACCGCAUCGACUGUCGGCCAACUUGGAUUUACUCGAUUCCAUCUGUGAGCCGUUUGAGCGCUUUUUUUUUCCACCCCACACCCCCCCCAAAAAAAAAAAAAUUAGCUGCUGAUUAGUGUGACUUUCGGGCUUUUAUUUGCAGAUUCUGCACAAACGGAGUAUCUGUAAAUAAAACAAACACUUCUUAAAAUUUCGGACAUAGCCUCGCUCCAAUUAUGAUAGCGGACCGGUGACCCCGGGGGUGCGCAAAGUUCCCGGCCUGAUUAACCCCGGCAGAGCCGCACGGGAGCAAAGGUUAACCGGCCUAAUCAACUUCAAGAGGGCGACUCAGUCAGAUCAUCAACUACAUGGGACACUUCCACACAUAGUGAAAAAGACACACACACGCAGGUAAAGACAUUCAGGAAAGUGUGAUUAUGAUUAUCAUCAUUUUUAGGAGUAUUUGGAUGACUUGCAUUGCUCUAAAACUCUCCUUAAAUCCACCCGGUGACAUUUCUCAUUAGUUCUGUUUGCUACGCACCGACUGGUUCACGUAAACAUCAAAACGCUGACAAUGAGGAGAAUGUCAUAUGCAGCCUGCUUUGCAUGAAUAAAGGAGCCCUGCAAUAAGUCUCAAAUGUUAUGUUUUUUUAUUGCACAUUAUGUCACAUUUUCUGGACAGUUUAGGAUGAUUAUGAUGACUACAAAUAUUUAAUAAGGUGCACAUUUACGGUGUAUGAUCGCAUGGACAAUUCUAAAUCCGUUCAAAAUAUGAAGGGCUGCGAAGAUCUAUUUCGGUGAGCAAAGGAGGUUAAAUGAAGCUUUGUCGUCUUUUUAAAGGCAGAAUUAUUGUGUUGGACAUAUCGGAGGUUGUCAUCGUGGGCGUACCUAAUGUUCUGGCCUGUACUCAUACACACCUCUUCAAAUUAGGCUCGCUUUUUAUUGCCUUAUUGUUUUAGUGGUCACAUCUCAAGUGCAGCGUGUGUGUGUGUUUGAUCUUUACAUAUGCAAUCGCGCGUGCAAAAAAA